rnacentral:rRNA from 1 species
UACAGAGGGGGCAAGCGUUAUUCGGAAUUAUUGGGCGUAAAGGGCGCGUAGGCGGCCUGACAAGCGACGGGUGAAAUCCCUCGGCUUAACCGAGGAACUGCCUGUCGAACUGUUUGGCUUGAGACCGGGAGAGGUGAGUGGAAUUCCCAGUGUAGCGGUGAAAUGCGUAGAUAUUGGGAGGAACACCAGUGGCGAAGGCGGCUCACUGGACCGGUACUGACGCUGAGGCGCGAAAGCGUGGGUAGCAAACAGG